rnacentral:rRNA from 1 species
CUGAAAGGUAGAAGGACGUUACUCUUCGGAGUGAGAGCGUACACAGGUGCUGCAUGGCUGUCGUCAGCUCGUGUCGUGAGAUGUUGGGUUAAGUCCCGCAACGAGCGCAACCCUGCAUUCAGUUGCCAUCGGUAAGGCCGGGCACUCUGGAUGGACUGCCGGCGACAAGCCGGAGGAAGUGGGGACGACGUCAAGUCAUCAUGGCCCUUAUGUCCAGGGCGACACACGUGCUACAAUGGCCGGCACAACGGGAAGCGAAGGGGCGACCCUGAGCGGAUCCCACAAAAGCCGGUCUCAGUUCGGAUUGCAGUCUGCAACUCGACUGCAUGAAGUUGGAAUCGCUAGCAAUCGUGGAUCAGCCAAGCCGCGGUGAAUACGUUCCCGGGCCUU